rnacentral:rRNA from 1 species
UACAGAGGGUGCAAGCGUUGUUCGGAAUUAUUGGGCGUAAAGCGCGUGUAGGCGGCUUUGCAAGUCGGGUGUGAAAGCCCUCAGCUCAACUGAGGAAGUGCGCCCGAAACUGCAGAGCUAGAGUACGAAAGAGGGUCGCGGAAUUCCCGGUGUAGAGGUGAAAUUCGUAGAUAUCGGGAGGAACACCGGUGGCGAAGGCGGCGACCUGGGUCGAGACUGACGCUGAGGCGCGAAAGCGUGGGGAGCAAACAGG